rnacentral:rRNA from 1 species
AUGGCGGCCGCGACGGCGAACGUGGCAGUGCUGCUCCUGUUGGUCAUCCAUGUCCUCGGCGUCGUCGUCGGCGCAGCGAGGCCAUUGGAGAGAGAUCACGGGUGGACCGGGAACGGGAUCGAAAUGGUGGAUCACAGGUCAAAAGAAAAGGAUGGAUCAAACCUUGAAAAUGGAAACAUGAUCGAGCUUCUGCUCUUCUUGUAUUUCUAUCGUGAUUUGUGGAAUGUAUAG